AUUGAACGCUGGCGGCAGGCCUAACACAUGCAAGUCGAGCGGAUGAAGGGAGCUUGCUCCUGGAUUCAGCGGCGGACGGGUGAGUAAUGCCUAGGAAUCUGCCUGGUAGUGGGGGAUAACGUCCGGACACGGGCGCUAAUACCGCAUACGUCCUGAGGGAGAAAGUGGGGGAUCUUCGGACCUCACGCUAUCAGAUGAGCCUAGGUCGGAUUAGCUAGUUGGUGGGGUAAAGGCCUACCAAGGCGACGAUCCGUAACUGGUCUGAGAGGAUGAUCAGUCACACUGGAACUGAGACACGGUCCAGAAUCCUACGGGAGGCAGCAGUGGGGAAUAUUAGACAAUGGGCGAAAGCCUGAUCCAGCCAUGCCGCGUGUGUGAAGAAGGUCUUCGGAUUGUAAAGCACUUUAAGUUGGGAGGAAGGGCAGUAAGUUAAUACCUUGCUGUUUUGACGUUACCAACAGAAUAAGCACCGGCUAACUUCGUG
rnacentral:rRNA from 1 species